AGAGUUUGAUCAUGGCUCAGGACGAACGCUGGCGGCGUGCUUAACACAUGCAAGUGGAGCGACGAAGGGGCUUCGGCCCCGGCAAAGCCGCGAACGGGUGAGUAACACGUGGGUUACCUGCCCCGAUGAUUGGGACAACCCGAGGAAACUCGGGCUAAUACCAAAUGUGCUCUUCGGAGGAAAGGAAGCUUCGGCCUCCGCAUCGGGACGGGCCCGCGGUGCAUUAGCUAGUUGGUGGGGUAACGGCUUACCAAGGCGACGAUGCGUAGCUGGUCUGAGAGGAUGAUCAGCCACAUUGGGACUGAGACACGGCCCAAACUCCUACGGGAGGCAGCAGUGGGGAAUAUUGGACAAUGGGCGCAAGCCUGAUCCAGCCAUGCCGCGUGAGUGAUGAAGGCCUUAGGGUUGUAAAGCUCUUUCGGCGGGGACGAUAAUGACGGUACCCGCAGAAGAAGCCCCGGCUAACUACGUGCCAGCAGCCGCGGUAAUACGGAGGGGGGCUAGCGUUGUUCGGAAUUAUUGGGCGUAAAGAGCGUGUAGGCGGCUUGGUAAGUCUGCCGUGAAACCCCGGGGCUCAACCCCGGGCGUGCGGUGGAUACUGCCAAGCUAGAGGAUGGUAGAGGCGAGUGGAAUUCCCGGUGUAGCGGUGAAAUGCGCAGAUAUCGGGAGGAACACCAGUAGCGAAGGCGGCUCGCUGGGCCAUUCCUGACGCUGAGACGCGAAAGCUAGGGGAGCGAACAGGAUUAGAUACCCUCGUAGUCC
rnacentral:rRNA from 1 species